CUGCCCUUUCCUACUCCCAGUCCCUUCCAGGGGCAAUCAUUAUUUCAAGUUUCUUGGAUAGUCUUUUAUGGUACACACACACACACACCCCACAGAUAUAUUUUCACACAAACGUUACAUAAUUUACACCACCCUGCACCCAAUUUUUCUUUUUAAAUCUAUUAAUUGUAUUGAUUUGCGGAACGCGUUAGCUCCAUAUAUUUAGUCAAUUAACAGUUCAAGACUUAGAGCAUCUGAUGCAGGCAUACGCAGCAACUCGGAAAACACUUUAGUACAAUGCAAAUACAAACACAAGGACUACGCAUAUGGUUACUUUUCGGAGCAGGUGGAAGGACUGAAGUACUUCAAUCUCCUUUGAUGGGUGGCACUGGCGGAAACCACGGUAGCGUCUGUUCUCUGAGCUCACACAGAAGCCGACCAUCGGCUCCCCGGCGCAGCGGUCCUCCCACCCCUCUGGCCCGCAGAGCCAUCACCCGCACUGCGGAAGAACCUUGCCGGCCCACUCAGGCAGGGAGCGGAAGUGGAUUCACACCCACGACACCCGAGCAGCGCGCGCCCCCUGCCGCCCGCCCGGGGAACACGCGCGAGGGGUUGGGAAGCCGCCAAUAUGGCAGGGUGGCCAGGGGGCUCCGCGUCGCCGUCCCCCGGGCGAGACGGGGCGGCCCCCAAUGUGGUGGCGCGGGUCUCGCGGUGGGCGGACGAUCACUUGCGCCUGGUCCAGAACAUCAGCACUGGGAUGGCCAUAGCCGGAAUAAUGUUAUUUCUAAGAAGUGUUCGACUGGUGAGUUAAAAAAUGAAAAAGGCGAUAGACAGUUCAUUUAUUCUUCAGACAGUUUUCAUUUCAAGCAGUGUAUCAUUUUGUUAUUCAAAUGCUAAGCUUUUAAAUAGUAUUUUAGAAUAAUGAAUAUAUUUUAAGAUCUUGACUUUAAAGUAACAGCCACAGGAUUUUAUAGAAAGUAAUUGUACAGGAUAUAUUUCCAUAAUCAUUUUUUUAUAUUUAAAAUUAAUCUGCAAAGGAUUUAGCUUGUUAGAAUGUUAUAAUCACUAAAUUUGCAUUUCAGAUAUUGUGGGAUACCUCAAAAGUGUUUUUCUAGGGUCCUUUUAGAUUUGGAUCACAGCUUAGUUAUGUCCCUUAGCACUGAAUAAUUUAUACUUUGAUUAGUGGAGUUUGUUUUUUUUGUCCUUUCAAUGAUGUUUUAAUAAUGUAGAGUUCCACUUGUAAGAUUUCUUGUAAAUCAAGAAUUACAAGUGUAUUUUAUUUUUCACUUUUUUGUGGUAAAAUACACAUAACAUAAAAUUUACCAUUUUAAUCACUUCAGUGUACGUAAAGUUCAGCGGUAUUAGACUUAUUCAUACUGUUCUGUCACUGUCACCACUAUCCAUCUCCAGAGCUCUAUUCAUCUUGCAAAACUGAAACUCUAUACCUAUGAAACAAUAACUCCUGUUUUCCUUCCUCACUACUCCUGGCAACCAUUAUUCCUUUUUCUAUCUCUUCGAUUUUAAUUACUCUAGGUACUAUCUCUUAAAAUUAGAAUCAUAUUUGUAAGUAAUAGCAUUAUUUAAAAUAUAGUUCAUAUUAGGGUAGGGAUUUAGCUCAGUGGCUCUGCCGCCUGC
rnacentral:lncRNA from 1 species